GUUGCUAGCACUGGAAUGGUUGCACUGGGCUAUGUUCAGAAAGUUUCUGACAAGGUGUCUCUAGCAUCAGACUUUAUGUACAACUAUAUGUCUAGGGAUGUAACAGCAAGCGUUGGUUAUGAUUACAUCCUUCGGCAGUGUCGUCUUAGAGGAAAGAUUGAUUCCAACGGCUGUGUUGCUGCUUUCCUGGAAGAACGCCUGAACAUGGGUCUUAAUUUCAUUCUUUCUGCCGAGAUUGAUCAUAAAAAGAAAGAUUACAAGUUCGGAUUUGGGCUGACAGUGGGAGAAUAGAGGAGGCAGUCAGUUUAAACAAGGAUAAACUUUUGAUCGAUCAUAUCCGUGGAACUAAAAGCAUCUUAGGUGAUUCUUUACCUCAAUAAGAAUCAACACAUCAGUUUUGUAUUUUUUAUUGAGAAAACUGCCAUGGAACAUCAGGUGCUUCAACUAAGCCAUCAGUAGUUGAUUUUGCAGUGUGGUAAGGGAACAUUCAUGGUGAAAUUUAAACGGAGGGAAAAAUCGUUUUAUUGUUUUAAUUCCUAUAGUCGAAAGAUAUUUUAGCCCUUUUUCCUGAUAGAGAGAAAUAUAAAUUCUGAUUUAGUGUUUAUGGAUAGUGGCAUUUGCCCAGAGGCUUAUCCCUACUUGAAAAAUUGUUUAUGUAAUUCUUUUGCA
rnacentral:misc_RNA from 1 species